rnacentral:rRNA from 1 species
CGUGUAGGCGGUGCGGUAAGUUGGGCGUGAAAUCCCCGAGCUUAACUCGGGUGGGCCGUUCAAGACUGCCGUGCUAGGGUGCGGGAGAGGGAAGUGGAAUUUCCGGUGUAGCGGUGAAAUGCGUAGAUAUCGGGAGGAACACCUGCGGCGAAGGCGGCUUCCUGGACCGUAACCGACGCUGAGGCGCGAAAGCUAGGGGAGCAAACAGGAUUAGAUACCCUGGUAGUCCUAGCCCUAAACGAUGAGCACUGGGUGUGGCCUCUCACGGGGCCGUGCCGAAGCUAACGCAUUAAGUGCUCCGCCUGGGGAGUACGGUCGCAAGGCUGAA